rnacentral:rRNA from 1 species
UACGUAGGCAGCAAGCGUUGUUCGGAGUUACUGGGCGUAAAGGGUGCGUAGGCGGUUGUUUAAGUUUGGUGUGAAAUCUCCCCGGCUCAACCGGGAGGGUGCGCCGAAUACUGAACGGCUAGAGUGCGGGAGAGGAGAGUGGAAUUCCUGGUGUAGCGGUGAAAUGCGUAGAUAUCAGGAGGAACACCGGUGGUGUAGACGGCUCUCUGGACCGUAACUGACGCUGAGGCACGAAAGCGUGGGUAGCAAACAGG